GCGGGAGUGGCGGAAUUGGUAGACGCGCUGGAUUUAGGUUCCAGUGCCUUAUGGCGUGAGAGUUCGAGUCUCUCCUUCCGCACCA
rnacentral:tRNA from 1 species